UGUAGUUAUUUUUUUGCAUCCCUCCGAGUUAGCUUCCUGUGGCCUCUCAUCCCCCAUUCUGUCCGUCUUCUUAGGGACCUUUAGAGCCCUCCUUCGAAACUACUCGAAAUAUCGUCCGGCUCUUCCGCUCCCUGCAGUUCCGGGAGCUCUUCCGCCUCAAACCCCCAGGUCCCCUGCUCUGUAGAUGAACCCGCGUCUGGGGCUGGGCUCCGCCCGAUUUUUGCACCGGGCGCCAUUCCAUGUUCCCUGACCUCGGAGAAACUCCUUCUGAUAAGGGUUCAGUAUGGAG
rnacentral:lncRNA from 1 species